AUCCUUAUAAGGGUAGAAAAGUCUAACUAAUUUACACUAAAGGGGCUAUACUAAACAACUAUAUUAGUCACAGAUUUCCAGUUAUGGCUCAAGAUAGUCCAGGACUAACUGCAAACAAAUCAAAAAUCAGUCCACCACUCAAAUGCUUUAAUUGCAGCAUGCAAAUCUGGAAACAAUUAAUUCCAUUACUUAAACUUUUGAUCAAAAUAAUCACCAAAUGAUAUUAUUGAGACUAUUAACUAACUAAAGUUUAGUAACUAGAUAGUCUCUUUACGAUCCAAAAUAAUUCUGAUUAUACAGUCCAUGGUCCAGGCACAUACAAAUUGGAAUGGAGAUGCGUUAAACAGUUGAACUACAUUAAAUGAUCACGUAGCUCCAAAAACGGCCAAAAGAAAAAAAGGGAUGUAUGGCUGAGGGAGGAGACAUUUAAACUAAUAAUACAACCCAGGCCAAUGAAUAUAACUUCCAGGAGCAACUGAACGAGUGUUGUAUUGCAUUUUCAACUUUGAAGUUACAUCAAGCUCAAAUUCGGGAUGUGUACCUGAGUUGUGAAAUAGAGAAGAAGGAGAGGUAAAUCAACAACAGUAGAUAUCAAUCAACAUACCAAGAGAUAAGAGGAAUAGCCAAAAAAAUCAAACAAGACCAGCAACUAGAAAUUCCAGCAGUAGAGAAUCAACGAGCAACCAAGGAAAUGAUUUAGAAAACCAGCAAUGUUCAACAAUCAGAUAGAAUCCCACAAAUCAAACCAAUGACCACUCGGAAUACACUCAAGUAAGUUCAAAAUUGCACUUAAAUUGCUACUGAGGAUCCCUGGGAAUUGUAUCCAACUAGAAUCAAACUAAACUGACCCAAACUGACUCGAGCAAAAUACCAGAUGCUCUUGAAUGCUGUUGAAACUUGAAAUUAUAACAUAAUUUGAAGAAAACCAAGGAAAUGCUUGAAAAUGAUCUAACUAAGCAAUGAAACAGUAGGAUAUUUUUUUUUUCUGUUUUUGAUGUUUUUGGAUUUUGAAUAUUUGAAAACUUAGAUCUGAAAAUUAGAAAAAAAAGAGCUAUUUGGAGGGAGUUUUGAUAGCUAAAAUUUCUUGACUUUUUCAGGGAGUCUCCAACCUGUAAAUGAAGGUACUAGGGCUGCCUUUUAUAGGCCAUAACAGGAAAGAAAGUUUUGGAAGCUUUCACAUAUUCUUUUUCCUCUUUUAAUUUCAUAUUUCACCUAUUAGUCCUUCAAUUUCUGACUUGUUUCUCAAGUUACUACCCUAAGUUUACCUAAAUCUACACUAAAGUUCUAUUCUAGAAGACCCUAUGGUGUUCUUUUACCUAUACAAUAUCUAUACUACCCUAAUCUUGGUGUUGAUUUUACUAUUCUUCAUAAAACAACCCCUUUCAAUGCCUAAACUACCAUUGAUUAUUUCCCGAAAUUACUGAUCUUAUACUAGUUGCCCCCAUCCCCUUUUACUAACUAGGAUUAACUGAAUAACAGUCUACACUAUUCAGCCAUGCUAACACUACUUUUAAAACCUUGAAACAUGAGUUAUUGAAUCCAAUUAAUACUUAGUUAAACCUAACUCCUACUACUAUCAAUUAAUCUAAAUCAACAUUUAAACCAAACUAAUUCGAUAAAAGUGAAAAGCCACAAAACACGAACUAAAGACAGAGUUAACUAAAAUUAAUUAAAACUAAAUCUAAGCUAAUAACAAAUCAUGGUAAAGAACUUAACACAAUAUUCCCUGCUAUGAUUACAAUUCGACUGAAUAACAAGAAUUGCGCAAUCAAAACUUGAAAAAAAUUAGAUUUAAAGAGAAACAGGCAAAUUAUAAACAACUAUAUGCCAAAAUUGAACCGAAACUAGUUUAAACUAAACAUUCGAAAUAAUCCCCAACUAAACUAACAAAACUCAUAAUUAACCAACUCUUAACAAUCGAACUAACGAAACAGAAACCAUAAACUAAUUAACUAACAUAUAGAAUGAACCAAUUAGCCACAGAAGCACAAAUUAAACCAAGAAACAUUCAUCAGAACAUAGAGGGAAAAAGAAAAGAAAAGAAAAAGAACAAACAAACGGACUUACUUCAAACUCGAUUGACUUUCAACUUUGGCUUUGAGUUAAUGUUAUAUAUUUAUUUCAUAUGAAAUAAGCAUAUAAUAUUAACUUAAAACCAAUCGAACCUUCAAAAUCUCCCAAAAACAAUUGUCUCCAAAAAAACCUAAGUUUUAAAAUUCAGCAUGUUCUACUCAUAUUCGAGGGAAUUCGGUUAGGUAUUAGCUGUGAGGAAGGUCUAGGGAUUGUAUGGUGUGAAUUUGGUCGGAUUUGGGUCAUUUUGUGACUUGGCCGGAAAACUUAAAACGAAGCUUCGAAGAGAUGAGCUGGGUAUUGAAGGGAACUAUUUGUAGAUUUGAGAUGAGGGAGAAGAGAGGAUCCCGAGGUGUUAAUCUGGUGGCCAUUGGUAGCGGUGACGUUCACCGUCGGCGGCGGCUCCGGUGGUGAUACAGGGAGAUACGAGGAGGGAGAUGUUGGUUGUUUAGGGUUAAGGGGAAUUUCAGACAUAUUAAUGUAAUGAAAGGGGGAAUUUCAAGCCAUUGGAUGAUGGAGAGUAAACGGCUGAGAUUGACUCCUUAUAAUUAAUAGGGCAGACCGAUUGUUGGGUUUGGGGCUGACGGGGUGGCUUUGGGAUAGGGCCUGGG
rnacentral:lncRNA from 1 species